rnacentral:rRNA from 1 species
AUUGAACGCUGGCGGCGGGCCUAACACAUGCAAGUCGAGCGAGCGGCGGACGGGUGAGUAAUGUAUGGGGACUGCCCGAUAGAGGGGGAUAACUACUGGAAACGGUGGCUAAUACCGCAUACUAUCGGAUAACCCAUAUGGGAUUAGCUAGUAGGUGGGGUAAAGGCUCACCUAGGCGACGAUAUCUAGCUGGCCUGAGAGGAGGAUGAGCCCAACGGGGAAUGAGAAACUGCCCAGACUCCUACGGAGGCAGCAGUGGGGAAUAUUGCACAAUGGGCGAAAGCCUGAUGCAGCCAGGCCGCGUGUAUGAAGAAGGCCUUAGGGUGGUAAAGUACUUUCAGCGGGGAGGCGUUACCCGCAGAAGAAGCACCGGCUAACUCCGUGCCAGCAGCCGCGGUAAUUC